UACGGGGGGAGCAAGCGUUGUUCGGAUUUACGGGGCGUAAAGGGCGCGUAGGCGGCCACCGCAAGUCGGUUGUGAAAUCUCUGGGCUUAACCCAGAAAGGUCAACCGAUACUGCGGGGCUAGAGUGCAGAAGGGGCAACUGGAAUUCUCGGUGUAGCGGUGAAAUGCGUAGAUAUCGAGAGGAACACCUGCGGCGAAGGCGGGUUGCUGGGCUGACACUGACGCUGAAGCGCGAAAGCUAGGGGAGCGAACGGG
rnacentral:rRNA from 1 species